CAGUCGCCGCGGGAAUACAGAGGGUGCGAGCGUUAAUCGGAUUUACUGGGCGUAGAGCGUGUGUAGGUUGUUGUUCAAGUCAGUUGUGAAAUCCCUGGGCUCAACCUGGGAACUGCUUCUGAGACUGAACGACUAGAGUACGGUAGAGGGUGGUGGAAUUUCCGGUGUAGCGGUGAAAUGCGUAGAUAUCGGAAGGAACAUCAAUGGCGAAGGCAGCCACCUGGGCCUGUACUGACACUGAGACACGAAAGCGUGGGGAUCAAACAGGAUUAGAUACCCCGGUAGUCCCUGUCUCUUAACA
rnacentral:rRNA from 1 species